GGAACCUUCACUUCAGAUUUCUCACUUGGGAGCUUCUGGUGUUGCCGCAAGCACAUAAUGGCGUCCAAGUAUCAUGGACCAAUCAACAGAACACGGCGACCGAUCUCUAUAUUAAUUGUAAUUGGUCUUUGUUGUUUCUGUUAUCUAAUAGGAAUUUGGCAGAAAAGUGGAUCCGGAAAGGGAGAUAAAUUAGCACUACAAGUGACUGAGCAAACUGCUGACUGCAAUGUUUUUCCACAAACCACUCUGGAUUUUGAGUCACACCAUAAUUAUGUGGAAACGGUUGAAACUUCAGAACUAACAGUUAAAAGAUUCAAAUCAUGUGAAGCUAAAUACACUGACUAUACUCCCUGCCAUGAACAAGACCGAGCUAUGAAAUUCCCAAGGGAAGAUAUGAUAUAUAGAGAAAGGCAUUGCCCUCCAGAUGAUGAAAAGCUUCGUUGUCUGAUUCUAGCACCCAAAGGAUACACAACUCCAUUUCCAUGGCCCAAAAGCCGUGAUUAUGCCUACUAUGCUAAUGUUCCUUACAAACACUUGACAGUUGAGAAGGCAGUCCAGAACUGGGUGCAGUUUCAGGGAAACGUUUUCAAAUUUCCGGGAGGAGGUACAAUGUUCCCUAGAGGAGCAGAUGCAUAUAUUGAUGAACUUGCUUCCGUGGUUCCAAUUGGAAGUGGCAUGAUACGAACUGCUCUUGACACUGGUUGUGGGGUUGCUAGCUGGGGUGCUUACUUGCUGAAGAGGAAUAUUCUGGCGAUGUCAUUUGCACCUAAGGACAAUCAUGAAGCACAAGUGCAAUUUGCUUUGGAGCGAGGUGUACCUGCUGUUAUUGGAGUUCUUGGUUCCAUAAGCCUUCCAUUCCCAUCAAGAUCAUUUGACAUGUCUCAUUGUUCUCGGUGUCUGAUUCCCUGGGCAUCAAAAGAGGGUAUGUACAUGAUGGAAGUUGAUCGAGUUCUGAGACCUGGUGGAUACUGGAUACUGUCUGGUCCUCCACUCAAUUGGAAGACCUAUCACAGAGUCUGGAACAGGACCAAGGAGAAUUGUAGAGCCGAGCAAAGAAGGAUCGAAGAGCAUGCUGAGCUUCUUUGCUGGGAGAAGAAGUACGAAAAAGGUGAUGUGGCUAUAUGGAGGAAAAACAUAAAUGGAAAGUCAUGCAGAAGAGCAUCCGCCAACAUAUGUCAAACAAAGGAUGCUGAUAAUGUCUGGUAUAAGAAAAUGGAUGCAUGCAUAACCCCCUACCCCGACGUGAAGAAUUCUGAUGAAGUAGCUGGAGGAGAAUUGAAGAAGUUUCCUGCUAGGCUUUUUGCAGUUCCCCCACGUAUAGCUAAUGACUUGGUUUCUGGGGUAACAGUUGAAUCUUAUGAAGAGGAUAAUAAGCUUUGGAAGAAACACGUCACUUCUUACAAGAGGAGCAUUAGCCUACUUGGCACCACUAGAUACCACAACAUAAUGGACAUGAAUGCCGGACUUGGAGGAUUUGCAGCAGCACUAGACUCUCCUAAACUGUGGGUGAUGAACGUUGUGCCAACUAUUGCUGAAAACACUCUUGGUGUCGUAUACGAGAGGGGCUUAAUUGGCAUAUACCAUGACUGGUGUGAAGGCUUCUCUACAUACCCGAGAACGUAUGACCUUCUUCAUGCUAAUCGCUUGUUCACUCUGUACCAGGACAAGUGUGAAUUUGAAGAUAUUCUCCUAGAAAUGGACCGUGUUCUGCGUCCUGAAGGCGCGGUCAUUCUUCGAGAUGGAGUUGAAGUCUUGAACAAGGUUAGGAAAAUCGCCGCGGGCUUGAGAUGGGACACUAAAUUAUUAGAUCAUGAAGAUGGACCCUUGGUACCUGAGAAAAUCUUUGUUGCUGUCAAACAAUAUUUCGUUGAAGGCGAUGAAGACCAAAGCACGCCAAAUGACGAUUGAGUGAUGCCAAUAUUCGAUUACAUCGAGAGAAACCUGAGAAUUCUGAAUUGGGAAGGUAAGAUCUCCAGGCAGAGAUAUGAAGGUUUUUUUUCUUCUCAAAUAUGGCAUACAACAAGUAGUGCAAGUUCCCAUGUAGAGCAAUUUUAGUUAUUUUUCCUUUAAUGUGUGAUUUUUGGAGAUCUUUUUUUCUCCAAAUAAUGAAGCAAAGCAAGAGUUCAUUAGAGUGAUAUGUAUGUUUGGGAGCAAAUUUAAUAGUUGUUUCCACUAAUUACAGAGUUGAAUUUUGAACAAUUGUAAUCCCUAUUUUUUU
rnacentral:misc_RNA from 1 species